rnacentral:rRNA from 1 species
ACGCACGCUGGCGGCGUGCCUAAUACAUGCAAGUAGAACGCACAGUUUAUACCGUAGCUUGCUACACCAUAGACUGUGAGUUGCGAACGGGUGAGUAACGCGUAGGUAACCUGCCUGGUAGCGGGGGAUAACUAUUGGAAACGAUAGCUAAUACCGCAUAAUAUUAAUUAUUGCAUGAUAAUUGAUUGAAAGAUGCAACUGCAUCACUACCAGAUGGACCUGCGUUGUAUUAGCUAGUAGGUGAGGUAACGGCUCACCUAGGCGACGAUACAUAGCCGACCUGAGAGGGUGAUCGGCCACACUGGGACUGAGACACGGCCCAGACUCCUACGGGAGGCAGCAGUAGGGAAUCUUCGGCAAUGGACGAAAGUCUGACCGAGCAACGCCGCGUGAGUGAAGAAGGUUUUCGGAUCGUAAAGCUCUGUUGUAAGAGAAGAACGGGUGUGAGAGUGGAAAGUUCACACUGUGACGGUAUCUUACCAGAAAGGGACGGCUAACUACGUG